rnacentral:rRNA from 1 species
AACGGCCAUACCAUGUUGAAAACACUAGUUCUCGUCCGAUCACCGAAGUUAAGCAACAUUGGCCGUGGUUAGUACCCGGAUGGGUGACCGCCUGGGAACACCACGUGCUGUUG